UGAUGGAGCACGCCGCGUGAGUGAAGAAGGCUUUCGGGUCGUAAAACUCUGUUGUUGGAGAAGAAUGGUCGGCAGAGUAACUGUUGUCGGCGUGACGGUAUCCAACCAGAAAGCCACGGCUAACUACGUGCCAGCAGCCGCGGUAAUACGUAGGUGGCAAGCGUUAUCCGGAUUUAUUGGGCGUAAAGCGAGCGCAGGCGGUUUUUUAAGUCUGAUGUGAAAGCCCUCGGCUUAACCGAGGAAGCGCAUCGGAAACUGGGAAACUUGAGUGCAGAAGAGGACAGUGGAACUCCAUGUGUAGCGGUGAAAUGCGUAGAUAUAUGGAAGAACACCAGUGGCGAAGGCGGCUGUCUGGUCUGUAACUGACGCUGAGGCUCGAAAGCAUGGGUAGCGAACAGGAUUAGAUACCCUGGUAGUCCAUGCCGUAAACGAUGAAUGCUAGGUGUUGGAGGGUUUCCGCCCUUCAGUGCCGCAGCUAACGCAUUAAGCAUUCCGCCUGGGGAGUACGACCGCAAGGUUGAAACUCAAAGGAAUUGACGGGGGCCCGCACAAGCGGUGGAGCAUGUGGUUUAAUUCGAAGCAACGCGAAGAACCUUACCAGGUCUUGACAUCUUUUGAUCACCUGAGAGAUCAGGUUUCCCCUUCGGGGGCAAAAUGACAGGUGGUGCAUGGUUGUCGUCAGCUCGUGUCGUGAGAUGUUGGGUUAAGUCCCGCAACGAGCGCAACCCUUAUGACUAGUUGCCAGCAUUUAGUUGGGCACUCUAGUAAGACUGCCGGUGACAAACCGGAGGAAGGUGGGGAUGACGUCAAAUCAUCAUGCCCCUUAUGACCUGGGCUACACACGUGCUACAAUGGAUGGUACAACGAGUUGCGAGACCGCGAGGUCAAGCUAAUCUCUUAAAGCCAUUCUCAGUUCGGACUGUAGGCUGCACUCGCCUACA
rnacentral:rRNA from 2 species